AGCCAGAGAGGCAAAACAGUCGUGACUGUGCGGGAGUGAUCUCUGUUUGCAUGACGUUGUUUGGAUGGUAGCAAAGAGGCACAGAAUUAGAGGAGACAGAAUUUGUACACAACUUAUUUUCAGGUGAUAAAAGCACUAGGAGCAUCUCUUGUUUUAAUGAGGUGACUCUGAGUGGGAUGAAGGCUGGUUACCUGAAAGACCAAGUCAUGAUUAGAAGCUUGGACUUAUCAGCCCCAAUUACCACCGUCCAGAGAGCCCUCUGGCUCUGCUGGAUUCCAGUCGCCAACCAAGCCCAGGGCAGGCACUUCAAACAUAUCACAGACUUGUUUCUACCACAGGGGCUGGAAAUGACUGUUACUCCUGGAGAUAAGACUUCCCAUCACCCCUCCCACCUUUGUACUGCUCUCAACUGGAGCGUGGCUGAGGCCCAGUGUUCCUUAAACGUUGCCAUCAUGCCUCUGGGACAGGCUGCUCCGUAGUGGAUUGAGUUCCAGUUCAUCACAGAACCUCACUUCCUCCAGAAGAGCCAGACUGGUUGAAGGUUACUGUUCAAAGAUUUAAUUCUUCGGUCAUGGAGACCCGGGUGGAAGACAGGCCCAUAGGUGGACAUGGCUCCCUGCUACUCUGUGUCUCUCACAACCCUUUUAUAGAGCGGGGUGCUGAAUUGUUCUCCUGGAGGAGAGAAAGUUUUGUCCUUACAUCAUAUAAUUAACCGACUGUGUAGCAAACGCACAACUGGAUUCAGAACUGGCAUCUGUCAUGUAGAAAGAUACUAUGAAGUAUAACAGCAGAAAGCAGGGCUAUAUUUUAAUGGAGUCAAAUUCAGAUAUGCUUAGAGAGCUGUGACUUAAGGAGCCAAAUGACACUUGAAGGCAAAGAAGAUGGAAAACAAAAGAAUAAAUGGGUGGAAAAUUCCACAACUCAAAAUCCCAAGGCUCUCUCAAGGACAAGAUUGUUACUUGAGAAGGCUCUGUGGAAUUUUUGGCAUUCUUGCACUAUCUCACUUUGAAGAUGGAAUGGAAACCAUGGUUUGUAGCCAGCAUUGCUGUCCUCUGAACAAGACUCAGUUUGCUGGGACCUUGAGCAGCUGUGCCUUUGGGAAGUCUGGGGCAAACCGUCUUUCUGUGGGGCUCUUAACAAUGUUAAUCCAGGAAGAGACCCACUCUACUGGCAAAGCCUUUGAUGAGAAUUUUGGCUAGUGUAUAUUUUACUGCUAAUCCUAUGGAGUUUUGUUAAAAGUUCUUUUGCUGUAGAAGUUAUAAGGACUGCCCAAAGGUGGGCUUGCUGGAGGUGGGAUGGGCUGGGAGCUGGUGGUAAAGAUGUGUUCUUCUGCCCUUUCCUGCGUGCACAAUCGUUCCUGGGAUGAGCUGAGCACCAUGGUAGCGUGCAAAGUUGACAACUAUAACCUGACUUUUAUUAUUUUCUGCUGCGCAGUAAAUCUGAUAAUUUUCUAAGUGUCUAAAGUGUGUUUGAACCAAAACAAAUUAUUAAAGAAAACAUCUAAUAAAAUGUCAUCUCUUCUUGCAUGCAUAUAUAUUAAGAAGAAAUCAAAAAUAAAUAGAAGGAGGUCUAUUUGGGGGGGAUCUUUUAAAAAAUAUUCAUUCAAGCAUCUGGAAUUUCAGUUUUCUUCAGCUAAUUAGAGAUUUUGUGUAUGAUGCAAAAAAGAUUCAAUUUGAAGGACACUUAGGAGAUCCGUUAGCAUAAACACAUAACAAUGUGAAUAGCAUACAUAGCAGAAUUAUAAAUUAAUAGAGACAUUACUCUUUUAGUAUUUAUGAAUAUUUCUCAUUGGUUUACUAUUGUGAUUUUUAACACCUAGUCUAACUUAUAAAGUUGAGUUUGUUUUCAUGUUUUCCAAUAUAGAAAGGAUUCAAAAUACACUUGGUUGUUCCUGUAAGAAACUGAUGAACUGCACCACAGUCUCCUGCACGCAGGUCUAGAUUACAGGUUAAGGAUGCUAUAUUAAGGGUUGUUGCCCUGGCAUGAGAAAUCCUGCAGAUCCUUCAGGCCAGGUACUUUUGCACCACAUCCCACAGUGUGGGCCUGGAGCAGAGCAUCAAAGCGAGGCUUCAAGGUAAAAAGUAUUUUUCUUUAAAAAAAUGGUUGAGAAAUAUUUUUUCAUAAAGUUGUUUCUUCUUGAAAUAUGUACUUCUAACAAGAUGUAAUUAAAUUAUUUCCUUUUUACCUGAUAAGGCAUUCUAUAACUCAUAAAAUGAAAUAGUAGAGAAUGUAGCCUUUGAGAAAUUUGAGCCAAGAAGAAAAAUAUAUCAUCAGUGGUUUUUAUUAAUAUUUCUGCUGCAUUGGUUAGGAAGUUUCUUUGGCGAGAAGCCAUUGGAAAUGACUUAAAGUUGAGAAACUAUUUAAAUGGCCCUGAAUAUUCUUGUAGGAUCUAAGAAAGAGUUGAAUAGGUAGGCUUUGGGAAGGCGAGGCACCAUGGAAAUUUAGAGAUCAUGUCAAAUGACUCAGCUCUGGGGAUACUAGCAUCAGAUUCCCAAUUCUUGGGAGAAAAGCCCUCACUGGGCUAGUGUGGGUUGGUGUCCACCUUAGAUCAAAGAGUGAGGGAGGUGAGAGGGCCAGGCCUCACAGCACAGACCUGCCUUCUAGCAGGCCGGGCCCCAAGUAGGUCACACGUGUGAUGACCUGUAGCUGGGCAUCCAAAUGCCAUGAGAGGUGUGGCAUGUUUUAUGAAUACAUAUGUACACAUAUGUGUGUAGGUAUAUACACACAAUAAUAUAAAAUAAAUAAAUAUGCAAUAAAAAUUAGAUGGUUUCUUGUACACACUUCAUAGCUAUAGUUAGCAGAUUUGUAGGGAUUAUUAUUGCAAUACCAGAUAAUUAGUUUCAAGGAAUAUCAUUGUCAGUACCAUAGCCCAACCCUCUUGUUGACACUUACCACAAGAUCAUUGGGGUAGAAAUGUCAUGAAUGGGAAAUUGUACGUAACACAUAUUUAGUGAGUAAACGUACAAGCCCAAUGACCUGUGCCAUCAAAAUCUCGAUCUGCGCUUAAUCUGUGUUUGUUCUUCACCCACUGGUACUUAAGAGUCCUUGUUAACUCAUUCUCUGAUUUGAUUGAUCUUUCUCAAUGUCCUGUUCUGGACCAACAUGUAUAUAUUCAUCAUCACGAACUCAACAAUAAACUUAUCAUGGUUCUGACUCCCAGAGAGUUUAAACUCUAGGAGGUAAUUCAGUUCCGCGGGUUUGAGCUACAGUUGAGGGAAGUCAAGCACCCUAUGGAAGUCCAUUCCAGAAACACCAGUACAGAUGCAGAAUGCCAGGGAAGACUUCCUGGAAGAGUAAGCAGGAAAAAAUCAUCAGGAAGCUGAAGGAAUGUGGAGUUGGGAAGAAGAUAAUGGGAGAACAUUUGAGCCAGAAUGUGCAAAAUCUCAGAGGCAAUAUUGGGCAUUUUUCAUCUGGAGAAGUGCAACUAGACCAGAAUGAGUUAUGGAGACUCAAGUGGGGAGUUGCCAUCAUGUGAAGCAGGAAGGUAGGCAAAGGUCAGCGAAUUAAGGGUAUGGAGAAUAAUGCCGAGGACUUUAUUUCAAGGAUAAUGAGGUCUUAUUAAAGUGUUUUACGUGGGGGAUACAUGAUUAUAUUUUCAAAUUAUAAAAACUGGAGAUCGGACUGGACCAGGUAGACUGGAGGUGGGGACACUAGUCAGGAGAAUAACAGGAAUCUAAGAAGUGGAUUGAGCCAAAGUGGUGGUUGUGGUGAUGGAAAGACGUGGAUGAAGACAAGAGAUUCACAGGAUGUCUUGUUUGAUGGGAUAUGGGGUGUGGCGAAUGAAGAGUGAAGGUGAGAAUGAAAUCAGCUUCUGGCUUGGGCAACCCAGCAGACAACUGAGUC